UACGAAGGGGGCUAGCGUUGCUCGGAAUCACUGGGCGUAAAGCGCACGUAGGCGGGUCUUUAAGUCGGGGGUGAAAUCCUGGAGCUCAACUCCAGAACUGCCUUCGAUACUGAGGAUCUCGAGUCCGGGGAGAGGUGAGUGGAACUCCGGAGUGUAGAGGUGAAAUUCGUAGAUAUUACGGAAGAACACCAGUGGCGAAGGCGGCUCACUGGCCCGGUACUGGACGCUGAGGUGCGAAAGCGUGGGGAGCAAACAGGG
rnacentral:rRNA from 1 species